CAACAAAAUUUCUUUGUAUACACCUUGGAUAAAAUAUUGAUUAUUUUAUUCCGAAAUUAUGACAUGUGCUGCUCUGCACUGGUACUUUCUUCUGCGACAUUCAUACUCAUGUUGCACCACCGGCGAGCUCCUUCGAGCGUCAGCUUGCAUGAAAGCCACGUGGGGUAUUUCUUACGCAGCUCUUGUAAGAAAUUUAAAAAAGGAUUUUUUGAAAAGCGGGAGUUUUUUCGUCUUUUACAGAUUACGUUUGUGCCCUUCUUUCUACGUCUACGUCUUCUACAUGCCAUAAUUUCGGAAUAAAAUUCUCUGAAAGGUCAAACUAAAAUUUUGAAGUAGAAGCCCUUACAACUAACAUAGUGGAACCCAACGCUGUAGAACCAUUACGCGGCGAAAAAAACGCGAAUGAAAAGAAUAGUUGUGAAAAGCCUUGUCAAUCCAGAAAACGAAAAAGAAACACAGAAAAGUGGAAAGUAAACAUUAGAAAAAAGAAAUGUCAAUCUGGGGAAGAAUACACAAAUGUGAGAGGGAAACUGGUCAAGCCAAGACAAAUAAGAAACAAAAAAAAUUGCUUGGAGAAAUGUAAAUUUAACUGUGCAAAGCAAAUUUCCUCCGAAAAAAGGGACCAAGUGUUUCGAUCGUAUUGGACCAUGACGCAAAACGAAAAGUACAUAUUUUUAAAGGAAAGUACUACAAAAGUUAAUAAAGGUAGAAAAACUACAAAUAAUCCGUCCAGGCGGACCUACUCCUUUUUUUAUUCAUUACAAGUAGAAGGAAUAACAAUUAGAGUCUGUAAGGAUUUUUUUUGGGAACUCUUGGCAUAUCCCAAAAACCGAUCUAUACUGCUCAUCUAGAAGGCAGUGAGUAUAAAAAGGAUCAUCGAGGAAAACAAAAAGUAACGAGCUUCAUGAAAAUGAAAGAAGAAAUAAUCAAUCAUAUUAAAGGCUUUCCCGUGAUUGACUCACACUACUGCAGACAAACAACUAAAAGGAAGUAUUUAGAACCAAAUUUAAGCGUUUCGAAAAUGUAUGACUUGUAUGUCAAACGGUGCAAUGAAACUACCAGUACGCCUGGAAAGCUCUCAUACUAUCGUAAUAUAUUUACGACAGAAUUUAAUUACGGGUUUCAUAUUCCCAAAAAAGAUCGCUGCCUAAAAUGCGAAACAUAUAAAAUAAAAAUGCUUGAAUCGUUGACUGACAAAGAACAGAAAGAUUACGAUGAACAUAUUAUACUCAAAAACCAAAUGAGAACUGAGAGAGACAAUGACAGAAAAAGUAAAGUGGCUGUAUUAGGCUUCGAUUUGGAAAAUGUUAUUACUUGCCCUCGCUCAGAAGUUGGAGAUUUCUUCUAUUCUCAAAAAUUGAAUAUAUAUAAUUUAACCGGACAUCUUUCCACCACUGGCCAAACAUAUUGUGCCAUUUGGACAGAAGCGAGACAAGGAUGAAGCGAAAAUAUUAUAGCAAGUGCUUUUAGGAGAAUACUGGAAGAAAUUCUAAAUGGCAAUAACAUAACAGAACUUGUUACUUGGAGUGACUCGUGUGUGCCGCAAAACAGAAAUUCUUUUAUUUCUUUUGCCAUUCUUGAUGCUCUUAGGGAUCACCCUGAGCUAAAGAGUGUUACUAUGAAGUACUCUAUACCAGGACAUGGAGCAAUUCAAGAAAUAGACAAUAUCCACAGUAACAUCAAAAGAUAUAUGAACAAAACAGAAUUUUAUUCGCCACUAUCAUUUAUCAGAAAUUUGAAAUCGGUAAACACAAAAAAACCGUAUUGUAUUUUGCAGUUACAGAGUGGUGAUUUUAAAGAUUUUGAGAGCUGUGCGAAACAACUGUCGUACAAUAAAAUCCCAUUUUCGAAGCUUCUUUGUAUUAAAUUUACUCAAAGUUUAUCAACAAUACAAUAUAAAUUGAACUACUUGGAUGAAUUUAGAAAUGAAACCAUAAAAGAGGAUUCGAACAAAUUAAAAAGACGUCGUAAUAUAACAGCCGAGGUGCCUUCUCAAAUAAUAUCCCUAAAACCCAAAGUUCUUCCUGCUAAAAACAGUAUAUCACAAGACAAAGUAUUAGCGAUAAAAAAGAUGAUGACUAGUUGUAUGCCAGAUCUGGACAGAAAAUACUUUACUUCAUUUCUAAAUACCUUAAAAUAAAUCCGUUUGUUUAGUUUGUGAGCUACAAUUUGAUCAAUAAAUUUUACACUGAUUGUGUCUUUUUUUAUUUAUUUUGUGCAACCAGCAAGUAUAUUAAACCGUACCUACAAAAACAUUUCAGUUGCCGUGUUAAUGAGAUCAUCUCAAAAUGACGAUUUUCAAACAACAUAGUUAUAUGUGGCACUUAGCACCCUUUUUACCAAACACUACAUUUAUGUGGUCAAAUUUUUUUAUUAACAAAGGUGUAUAUUCCACAUACACCCCUGUUUAAUAAAAUAAAAUGACUUCAGUUCUAAAACAAGGUGCUAUCUGUUUUAUAGGGUACUAAAAUGGAGCAAAAAACCUCACACAAACUAAAUAGUUGAUAACGGCAAUUGAUCUUUUAAAUCUUUACUUUAUUGUCGUGAAAGUUUUGAUAUUUUAUCGCUAAAUUAAAAAUAAUUAUUCAAACCGAAAACUUGGAAGGGUUAUAUCUCAGAUAAUGACAAGCGACAGAUGCCACUUCGCAACGAAAUGAACAAUAUGCAAUCCGAUUUAAAUAUAUUGCUUAAAGCAAACAAUGACGUGCAAAUUGAAGAGAGAGGUAUUCAAAACGACAGUCCAAUUUUGAAUAUCUUUAAACUAAUGCUUUUUACUAAGAUGGAACAUGUUGAGCAAACAGAAACUUUAUCUGAUGACCGAGUACAAACAACUACUCGCACAAGAACUAAGCCAUAUCGGUGGACAAACAACAAAAGAAAGUACAAAAACAUUAAUGUACCGAAUAUUUUCAAGCAAAUUAGGGUCGUGUUACACAUGGGAAGGAAUGAAGAAGAAACGAUGUAAGGCAAAAUAAUAAUUAAAAUUAUAAAGGCUGUAAGAUUGAACCCCAAAACUGGUAAUGCUUCUGAACUGGAUGUAAUACAAAAUAUAAAGUCAUGGCUGCUUCGUGCCAGAGAGAGAGAGAGGCAUCUGAAUAGUGAAAAGAAAAAAGCUGGAGAAACAGUGGAAGAAGUUACCGAUGAUGUAUUAUAAAUGUAUGAGAUUAAUAAAUAGAUCUUGUAACAUAAGA